UAGAGAGCACUGAACAACAAAACCUACAGAAAACAUAGCCUCAUCUUUUACAGGAACUAUUUCUGGUUUUGAGUAAUUACUUGGAAAACAAGUUCUUGCAUACAUGUUACUGUGAAAGUUUUCCACAAUAGUAAGCAGACCUGGAGGAAACUGUGAAAAAGUAAUACAAGAAUGGCAAGGACUAAGUCAGGAGGCAAGAGAAGAAAACCUGAAUAGAUCUACCUUAAAAGCUGUUACAGGUGCUAAUUGAAGGGAACAGAGUGAAUGGAAGCUUUGCUGCAGGAGGCUGACUGAGUGCCACUGGGGAUACAAGAGGUACUCUGGGAGAGAAAAGUUCUAUCUGUCUAUUGUUUCUUUGUAUAGGCCACUGAAACAAAUUGAAACACUAAUAAAUAUGUACAGUGAACAACUACCCAAUAGUUUGUGAUCUCGCUGUGGAGGUCAAUGUCUCCAUGAGCUUCCUCUGACUCUCUCUGCCCAUUUGUGUGACAAAUGUUAGGAGGGCCCACACAAUACCAUGUGCUGGACACCUGUGAAGAGCAGCAGCUGGUGGUGCCUGUUGAAAGGGGGGAAGAGGUGCCAGGUCACAUGGAUGCUCUUCCUGUGGAGCAGCUUGGGCUGAAAUGAGGAAGGGGAAAUUUAUACUGGUACAGAGUGAAGGAAAGAUUAUCACACACUUAGGAACUGUCUCAACUACCCAGUGCCAUUGAGCAGCUGAGAGGCAGCAAGAUCCCUCUUAGCAGUAAGUGCUUGAUUCAAAGCAAAGGCAAGCAUGUUGUCUCAAACGACCCGCAGUGAUGGUUUGAACUGAUGUCUAAUUUUGCCAUGAAAUGGACUGUAGGUGCUCUCAGAGAGAAGCAGUUCAAAAAGCUGUUCAAGGCAUUCAUCCUCCAUGCCUAUCAAAGACAGUUACUGUCUGUUGGUUCAGAGGUUGUGCGUGAGCAUCAUCCAUAUAAAUGAACUUAAUAUGGGUAAACAUGUCAGAUGCAGACAUACAUCUGAUAUAUCAGAAGAAACACUGUGACAAGUUUGGCAAUAAGCUAGUUAUAUAAGCACUCAAGAUCAAGCCAAAUUGCAUUCAACUGUCAACAUAUUCUGUGUGAAAUAAUUUACAUCCAAGAAACCUUCACAAAAAUCCAGGUGAAUGAGAUCUGCUGCAGAGCACAGAGUAGUAAGAUCUAGAGACAUUCGUAUUUCAGGGAGGCUUCUAACAGCAUAGAAAAAGUUGGCAUAUUGAGCUGCCCAGAUAUUUAUUUAUUUAUUACAAAACAUUUAUACCUGUCCUCUUCAGGCCAAAGCAAACUCCAAAAAGGAGAAGAAAAAAAAAAAAUGGAAAAACAAAAUGGAUUGCCACCAAUGUUUCUAAGGACCAAGCAACUUUGUAAUAAAUGCUCUAUUAGAGCAGGAAAUAAAACCCUUUGAUAUACAUUACAUAACCAUCUGUGGUGGGCUGACCUUGGCUGACUGCCAGAUGUCCCCCAAGGUGUUCCCUCACUUCUCCUUUUCAACAGCACACAGACAAAAUAAAAUGGAAAUGCUUAAGGAUUGAGAUAAAGACAGGGAGAUCAGUUACAAAUUGUCAUCAUGGGAAAAACAGACUUGGGAGAAAUUAAUUUAUUACCACUUUAAAAUAGACUUGGAUGUUGAAUAACAAAGACAAAAAUCU